ensembl:lncRNA LINC01141 long intergenic non-protein coding RNA 1141
AGAAGCAGAAGUUGUGUUUUCAGCCUCAGGGAGCUCUAGUGGAGAGACAAGAUUCGUGCAUGAAAUAAUUACGACUGUUGUAGAAAAAAGAAAAGCCUGUAGGUCUCCCUUCCUCCCUCCUUCUCUCUGUCUACCUCAGCAUUUCUGGGGUUCACUCUGCUCUGGGUACUGUGUAAAGGACUCCACAGCCAUCAACUUCCCUUCAUCCUUGCCGUGUCUUUGAAAGAGCUGAGAUUUCUUUACAUCACAGUGGUUCAAGGAGAAAAACACAGCCAGAUCCUUCCUCAUCUCAACAUAAAUUAAACCCAGAGGCAGUCAGCGCCACAGUCCACACUCGUAACCGUUACACUCACCUGGAAAUAAAAGUAUUUUUGUGCGGGGACUGCAAGGACUAAGCCCGGCCGCACUCCGAGUUUCUCCUCCUCACAGAUGCGGAGAUAAGAGCCCAGAGAGGUUAAGUGGCCCAGCCAAGAUCACACAGCACAGUGGCAGCCAAAGAGAGAUAGGGGCUGAGGCUCAGAGAGGGCAAGUGACCUGCCCAAAGUCACACAGCCGUGACUCAUUGCUCAGGUGAGGAAACUGAGGCUCAGAGAGGGUCCGUGGCAUGUCCAAGGUUACUCUGCUGAGGCAAGGAACUAUGUGAGCCACUCCAGUGUUCCCAGCCCCAAGGCCAGGCACAGUGGACAUUUAUUGCUGAAUGAAUGAAUCAAGAGAGAGGAUCAGAAAGCUGCAGAGGAUGAUAGAUCUGCAAAAUUCUCCCUGGGUGAGGCCCAGGCUCAGCUUCCAGAACAGCUCCAUCUGUCUCCCACUCACUGAGAUUGAACUAAUGUCCCACAGUUGGACAGACCUGAAAUUGAGCUCUGUGAUUUUGGAUACCUGCCCCUCUGCUGGAGAUUCUGCAUGUCUGAGGUACCAGCCAUUGCCAGAAACUGGGCUAUGUUCUCUCCUUUCAUUGUGCCAUUUCAUUCUCACCCCAAAAUGAAAACACACAAAAAAAUCACUUUCUUCCCAAAGAGAA